UACGAAGGGGGCUAGCGUUGCUCGGAAUCACUGGGCGUAAAGCGCACGUAGGCGGAUUGUUAAGUCAGGGGUGAAAUCCUGGAGCUCAACUCCAGAACUGCCUUUGAUACUGAGAAGCUUGAGUUCGGGAGAGGUGAGUGGAACUGCGAGUGUAGAGGUGAAAUUCGUAGAUAUUCGCAAGAACACCAGUGGCGAAGGCGGCUCACUGGCCCGAUACUGACGCUGAGGUGCGAAAGCGUGGGGAGCAAACAGG
rnacentral:rRNA from 1 species